rnacentral:rRNA from 1 species
UUUUCAUUGAGAGUUUGAUCCUGGCUCAGGAUGAACGCUGGCGGCGUGCUUAACACAUGCAAGUCGAACGGACUA